rnacentral:lncRNA from 1 species
CAUCAGUGUAUCACUGAUAAUGAUACAAAUGAAAAGUCCAACCACUAAGUUCCCAAACUGCAAACUGGAUAGCAGACAGUGAGACAUCUUAGCCAUUGUGGACUUAAUCUCAUGUUCCACCAGGAAGAAGAAGGGAGGCAAGACAUGUAUGUCUACAAAGAAUAUUGCUGUAUAAUUUAGAUAUGUGGCAUCCACUGAAAGCCUCAUGUAUUGGAAGCUCAUUGGAUCCUGAGGCCAGCGUGCUCAUCAGUAGCACCAUAAUAUGGACAUGAGAAAGCACAACAAAUACUGAUGAUCAUAGGAUCCUAAUUGAUGUGCGUCUAAUCUGCCCCCAAGAUGCUUUAUGGCCCACACCAAGUUAUUAUCAACCACUUGGAACAUCACAAAUUAGAAAACAAUAAUAUUUCAGAAUGAAAUAUCAUUUGGGGACCAUCCAGAAUCCACCCUACAAUGGAGGCUUGAAGUGCAACUCCCAGAAUUCAGAGCCCAGUCUAAGGCAUUGAAGUGUGGAGACCAUGAUGAGCUGGACACAUCUACAAGUCCCCACUGGGAUAGAGAGGACAGAAGCUGGGCCAGUGAGUCCAGGAUCACUGGAUUCACAGACCAACACGGGGAAGAGACAGGAGGCAUCUCUGGCUUCACACUUUCCUGGCACAGUGACAGCAAUGAUAGGAGAGGCAGAGAAAAGAAGACGAUGACUAGAAGUUUAUUUUAGAGGCAAUGUGACAAAACACCAGUUGUGGAAGGAGAAGCAAGACAAAGAAGAAAAGGCAGUAACAGAAGCUCUGUAGACUGUCUGCAAAAUAAUGAUGAAGAAGAUAAUGACUAGGAUGAGCAUGAGGAUUAUUUGGAUCAUCUAUUGCUUUAUAACAAAUUGCACCAAACCUAUAAGAACUCAGUAGCAACUACAGGGUGAGUAGCUCUUACCUGAAAUGUUAAGGACAAGAAGUGAUUGAGAAUUUUGGCUUUUUUUCAGCUUUGGGAAUAUUUGCAUGCACAUAAUGAGACAUGCUGGGGAUGGGACUCGAGACCCUGCAUUUCUGUCACAUACUCCUUAUUCACAUAAACUGAAUUUUAUACAAUACUUUCAAUAACUGAAUACACAAAAAAUAAUCUUAUGGCAUAGAAGUUUCUACCUGUGGCACCAUGUCAGUGCUAAAAAAGUGUUAGGUUUUGGAGCAUUUCACAUUUUACAUUUUCAGACGAUUAAGAAUACUCAUUUUCCAGCUUAUGUCUAUCUAUUUAUGUUCAGAUAGGGCUUACUGGGUGACACCUGUUGGCACCUGGGGUGGUCUGUAGAGUGUAGACUGCUCUCACUAAUAUACCUGGUACUUGAAUGGGGGCAGCUGGAAGACUCAGCUGGGCCACUCUCCCUCACCAAGUACAUAUAACAGUGAUCCAUGUGAUCUUUCCAGCAGGGUGGUUGGAAUUUUUUACAUAAUGACUGAGAAUUAAGAGAGUACAGGUGAAAACUAUAAUUUUUCAGUGGGUAAGUUUCUAUCUACCAUAGCAUCACUCUAAACGUGCACUGCCAGCCAAAGAACUUAUAUGCUAGCUUAGAAAGAAGGAACAAAAGGAGGGACACUGUCACUGGGUAGGGCCUGAG